rnacentral:lncRNA from 1 species
CUUGUUCAGCUGGGGAAAAGCUGGCUGUAAAAGCAGCACAAGUCAUAGAAUCAUAGAAUCAUAGAAUCAUAGAAUCAUAGAACGGUUUGGGUUGGAAGGGACCUUAAAGAUCAUCUAGUUCCCACUUGUCCAAGUCAACCCAACCCAUAGGGUCUCCCAGGCUAUAAAUGAAGGCUUAUUCUCUCAUGGGUGUCAUUUGUCUUGCACCAUGAUUUGAGAAGGACACAAGGAUGAAUGCUGCGUGUGGCUGCAGGUGCGCAAAGGAAGAGAGGCACCAUCCAGGGAGGGCAGUCCCAGCUCAGCCCAGAGGUCUGUCUGCUCUGAAGCCAGCAACCAGCACCAGUUCCUCCUGCUGGACUGUAAAGCAAGUAGAAACACCUUGGUUCAUGCUCCAUGCUCCCAGAUCAGCCUCAGCAAACCCAGCCAGCAGUACUAGGGUUGAAGGGAGGAAAGGCACAUUAAUUCAUCAUGAAAUGAAACAUCUUUCUGCAGAUUUCUGGAAACCUUUGUGCAGUACUUGGGUCCCUGCCCCACAAGCCUUUGACUUUCCUCAGCUGGAAAUUGAUAUCGAGAGAGACCCUGAUACACCUUUUUUGGGUGGUAGCAGAGCCCCUUCCUUGCACAUCCAGCUGGGAGAAAUAGCUGAAGAGGCUCAUGCUCUGGGGUGACAGGGGCUUGCAGUAGCUUUGCUCAGAGUGGGCAUCAGCCAGCUCAUGGGGACAGGCUGGAGGACUGCGGGGAUUGACCAUCCCAGCGGGACAGGCACAUUCCCCCUGGGGCCAGCGGGUCCUGUGACCCUGGGAUGGAGACAGGGGUCCCUGCAGGAUCAGCCAGGGAUCUGCACGCCCCAGUCGAGGCACCGGUCCGUCACUGCUCCCCCGAGCUGCAGAGCUCUGGCGGAGCCGGGGCGCUCUCUCGGGAGGCUGCCGGCUGCCAGCGGAGCUGGCCCGACGGCCGGUGGAGCUGGCCGGGUUCGGGCGAGGGUCUGGGCAAGGAACUGAGAGGCAGAAAGGAAGAAAGGACCCCGGGGGGCAGCUCAGCAUCCCCCACUCCCUGUUAGAGCCGAGGACAAAUCCGCCCUUGAUGCCACCCUUCCCAGCUCCCCGGACUCUACAUCCGCUUCUUACCCGACGGGGCGGAAAGCCGCGUUAGGGCGAGGGGCUUUGACACCGGGGCUGCUGAGGGGCUGAGGUCUCCGACAUGGGGAUCAAACCCGCCGGGUGAGCGGUGCACAGCCGGAACCCCCACCGCUGCGCUGGGGGGCUUGUGGCUGGGGAGGGAGCGGACGAGCAGGGUCAGGGGCAGUGAUCUGGGGAAAAAAUUCACCGGGGGCGGCUGGGGGGCUGCGGGAGGGGGAUACUCGGGGGGCACUGUGGACGUUUGGCCGGCCCCGGGCAGAGCGGAGCAUCCCCGGUCCCGGCUCCCCCCGGCCCCAGGCAGGGACCCACCCCCGGCGGCGUGGGGCGAGGGGGGCGCCCCCGCCUUGACGUCAGGAGAAGGGUUUAUAAAGGCGGCGGGAGGCGAGGAGAUCCCCAACGCCGGAGCCGAGCCGCAGCGGAGCCGCCAGCGCCGACCCGCCGCCUCCUCUCCGCGCCCGACCCGCCGGCGAGAUGCUGUCGUGCCGCCUUCAGUGCGCCCUGGCCCUGCUCUCCAUCGCCCUGGCCCUCGGCACCGUCUCGGCCGCCCCCUCGGACCCGCGGCUCCGGCAGUUCCUGCAGAGGUCCCUGGCUGCCGCCGCCGGGAAGCAGGAACUGGCCAAGUACUUUUUGGCAGAACUGCUCUCAGAGCCAAGCCAGACAGAAAAUGAAGCCCUGGAGUCUGAGGACUUGUCCCGAGGGGCUGAGCAGGAUGAAGUGAGACUGGAGCUGGAGCGCUCGGCUAACUCAAACCCCGCUCUGGCGCCCCGGGAACGCAAAGCGGGCUGCAAGAACUUCUUCUGGAAAACUUUCACAUCCUGUUAGCUUUUGAAACCCACCUCUCCUCCCCAUUCAUCCCUGCCUUCUUCCUAGCCCCCGCCCUGAGCAGAACCUUCACCACAGAGGCGAAGACUGUAAAUACACAAUCCACGGUUAUGGUGAAAUUAAAGAAACAAGGAAAAUUUGAGUUUGAUUUCCAGUUGUUUUAAUAAAACUUUCUGUUCCAAUUGUACACAAUUUGCUUGAGUUGUGAUUUCUGACUAGUUCUUCAAUGACAUGCACUCUGCAACUCUUUCAGAUGUACUAUUUUUAAUUCUUUGUUGCAAUAAAGUUUAUGUUUCAAAC